CCCUCUGGCCCUUAAAAAAAACAAACCAAACCUGUUGCUGUCAAGUCCAUUCCAACUCAUAGCAGCCUCUGGCUCUCAGGGAUACACUGUAUCUAGCUUCUAAGAUUUUUGCUUUGCAAACAUCCAUGGAAUGAUAGUCCAGCACAAGAUGUAUAGAAAUGCCAUGGAGAGUUGUCUCCCCAGAACUUCUCUUUUUAUUAUCUUUUCAUUAUUGUUACUAAUAAUUCUUAAUAUUUUUAUAAGGGUUUCUAUAACAAGAACAUGAAAUUCAUAGUUGUGUGAGAAAUGAAAAGCUGGCUACACAGUGACUCAGACUUUUUCCCCCCACAUAAUUGUUAGCCAGUCACCUGGAUUCUAGGGAGAUUUCUUAUACUAAUUAAAUAUAAUAGUUUCUCUAGGCUCCAGUUUCUGUUCAAUGGCAGCUCAAGACUAGACACUAUUUAAGCUCCAUUCUGCUUUAAAUUUAAUUAUUCUGUAUCUAGGGGUAAAAAACAAAAACAAAUUCAAAUUACUUUAUUUGAACAAACUUGUCCAGUUAAAAUAUUAACCACAUAUAGUCAAACAUAAGAAGUUAAAAUGAGCCAGUACAUUAUUUGUAUUCAGAAAGACAUUUAUUAAGUAUAUUCCAGUGUAAAACUCAAGGAGUUUAAUUCUAUGCACAGAGUAUCUCAGGAACAGAAACAGAGCUGUGGUUUUGGAGAAAGGUGUUUACAAGAUGUGAUCAAUAAAGAUUACUGGAAACUUAAACAGAACCUGCCCCAUCUGCGUUCAAGAAACUUACAGUUCUUUUGAGAAGAAAAGAGUGACAUGAAAAAUAGAAAACAAUGAAGAACUGUAUGUCCAGGUUUUCCAAAUACGCAUCAUAUGAAGCUGUUUUAUGGGAUGUAGGGAGCAAAAUGCAUCGAAAAUACAUGCAGAUUUUGGAUCUGCCAAGCCCUGCAACCCCGUGAGCCAGCAGAGGUCUCCAGCCUGCCACCUGACCCAUGGAUUCAGGACUUGCCAGCCCUCACAACUGUGUAAGCCAUUUCCUUGAAGUAAGUCUCUUUGUAUAUAUUUAUACAGUUAGUUCCUGACUUACAGACUUACAACGUAUUCAAGUUUCGACGAGCCACACUUAACAAACAUCUGUUUUAUAUACAGUGUUGCAGCAUGUAAUUUUCUGAUGUUAAUCAUUCUCAGAUGUUCCUUUGUAGAUGUUUAUAUGAAUGUUUCCAAUCCCCAAAGACAAAUAAAGAUUGGAUUUAUAAAGAUACUGAUAAUAAAAGACAAUAAUAAUGAAAACUUAAAAAAAAAAAAGAGGUAUUCAACUUAUGCCAGCACCAACUUACAAGGGAGUCAUCGGAAUGGAACCCUGUCAUAAUUUGGGGACUAUCUGUAUAUAUGUUUCACUGAUUUUGCUCCUCUAGAGAACCCAGACUAAGACAUUGUAUAUCAUAUUUUAAAAAUGAAAUCCUCACAAAAACCUGAGAUAAAAACAAUCUGUGAGUUUCCUGUCUUGUAAGUGGUGAUGUCAGCAUUCAAACCUAGGUCAGUGUCCAAGUCCCAUGCUCCUUUAUUCUGCCACGUGCCUUAGACACUAUGCCUUAGACAUUGUAUAAAAAAUGAAAGAUUCCUAGCCUCAAAGACUAUCAAUAUCAUGAGUCUCUGCUUCCCUCUAAAAAUUAUCCCUUGAGAAACUGUAACAGCUCAAGAAACAUUUUUAUUAUUAAAGAAAUAUGUUUUUCUUUAGAGAAAGCUUCAAAGUUAAGGAAGUAAACAGAGUCUGGCAGAGUUCACAAAACCACAAGACAAGAUCUCUCACCUUCGGGCUGAUAGAGUAAAUAUUGACAUCCUUUGCUUCAAAACAAGAGCAACUAUCACACAAAUGGAUUGCAUAGCUCGAAGGGGUGUACUUCCUACUGUGAAAGGGCUGAGAGGCUUGGGAAUUGCAGUAAUGAUUCAAGAGAAUGGUAUACUGACACUGGAGUGGCCUUACGAAAAGAGGAAAUGGUUUCUAUAGCUGCUGAUAAAGUUCUCAGGUGCCUUUUCAGGAUACACAUGCCACUUAAACCCAGUAGUAGUUUCCAUUUUAAUUAUUCUUCCCCCUGCUUCAUCUAAGCAGAGUCUUCUUAAAUGGGAGAGAAUUUUGUAUCCUUUCAGUCUUGCUUUAUUCAUCUCUAAAAGGGUAGACUUGGGCUAAGUUCAUUCUUUAACUUUUAGUAUUCUGAAGCCACAGUUUUAAAUUUAGAAUUUGUUUUGGGUGGGGAUCCAUAAAAAAAUUUCAGAUUUUGGGGGACAGACAGUAAUAGGCUUAUUUUUUCAAAUAUGGAAAAUAUGAAGCAUUUAUUGCUUUUUUUUUAAACAAGUCAAUAUAGCUAAAUAGAAUACUGCUGCUACAAGUAUUAGGUACACACUGUAUGCAAGUUCAGCAUCUCUACAAUGGGGUGAGAACAGCAAUAGAGGUUUAACCCAAGGAAAAGUUAGCCAGAUUAAAGAAAACAAUGUAGAAAUGGCUUUCAGUUGUUAUCUUUGUGAAAUAAUCCAUACUGAAAAAAUAACAAGUUAAAAGAAUAGUAAUUUAGAGACUAUUUUUACCAUUGUUAGGUUUGCUAAAUAAUAAUCCAAACACAUGUUCACUGUUUACCAGCCCUGCAUCUUCAGUCCCUCCCCAUUCUGAAAAGUCUCCCAAAAUUUACCAAUUUGCGUCUUCGUCCCUGUUUACCUUUGUACCCCACUCUCCCACCUGCUCUUAUCCUCUAACUUCCACUGAAGAAAAGAAUGAGCAGAGGAGUGAAGAAUUGUUUUUCUCCCCAGGAGUACUACAAACUCAGUGAGGGCAGUCAAGUCUGUUUUGCUCUAUGCCCGUUAACUAACAAUUACCUGUUGAAUGGAUGAAGUGACUUUUCUUCAAGCCAGAGUAUCUAGAGCAUUGCUGGAAGCUUCCUACUCCAGUGGAAAAUGGAAAGCCCUGUCUGAUCCUCAGCUUUCUGCUUUUUGGCUGAGAUGCCUGUUUUUAUGAAAAGAGGGUUUUCUCUGCUUAUGGAGAAGGAAUAAGGGCAAAGCCAGCUCUAGCUGUAAUUGCUAAGUUUGAAUUCUCACUCUUCCUCUUUCCCCCAGGGCUUUUCUUCUCUGCCCAGCUAUAAAUGAUUUAUUUCUUCUAGUGAAAAUGCUUAAAUUUAACAGGUCUUUUUAGUAUUGUAUUUCUAGGUUCCUUUUGAACAAAUACAUAUUCUGUAUUAGUAAUGAAAGAAAAUCUAAUAGAAAUAUGAACUGGGGAUGUGAAUUAUCAAUUUAAGUGAACUUAUAAAAAUAUUUUAAUUCCUACCAAUGAUUUAAACUGCACGUUAAAAUGAGAUACCGGUUUUUGCCAAUGUAAGAAAUUGAUGAUAUCCAGCUUAGUUAAAAAACCAAAAAACCAAAUCCAUUGCCAUCACGUCAAUUCUGACUGGUAGCGACCCUAUAGGAUAGAGUGGGACUGCCCCAUAAGAUUUCCAAGGAGCAGCUGGUGAAUUCGUACCGCCAACUUUUUAGUUAGCAGCCAAGCUCUUAACAACUGUGCCACCAGGACUCCAGUUUAGGUAAAGAAGUAGGGAAAUAGUCACUUUGUAGAGAAUUCUUGACAAUGGUUACUUUGAGAUGGGAAGAAGGGGAAGGCUGAGAUGUAUCGUUUCAGUGUUCCAUAUGAGGACUACCUCUUUUGCUGUAGGAGGCUAUGAUUUUUAUCACCUAAAUUUUAUAUAUUGUAAACCUAAUAGAGAAAAAAUUAUUAAAGCAGAAUUUCAACCCUAAUUCCAUUUAAAGCAAGUGUUUUUGUUUUUCUAUGUUCCCUUUUAUUCCUGCAUAUAUUAUUUACUGAGUGCUUUAUCUGUGCCAUGCACUUUGCUGGACAACUACAGUGAAUAUGCAGGCACACAUGCGUACCUUAUGCACGAGCAUGUACACUUGGAUGUGCGCACACACCGCACACACACACUCUCUCGUGUCUCUGCUCUCAUGCGCAGAUUUCAUCUGAAUGCAUGCAUGUUUUUACAUUACUCUAGCACAGAACUGAUGUCUCCUAUUCUUUUGCUUAACUUUAUGUUUUAUUACCUAAAUUUAAUAACUAUUUUGAAUAUGUCAUCAAAGAGAAGCCUCAAAAUAUACAUAGUUACCGCCCUAUACAUUUAGGAUAUGUACACCUUUUCAUAGUUCAUAAUCUGUGGUUUAAUGAUCUAUUAAUAUCUACACAUAAAUCACUAUGUGCACUCCGGAGAGAAUUUGUGAUGGGGUACAAGAAAUAUUUCAAAGGAUUCUUCACACUAUAUAAGCAGAUUCCAGAGGGGAAUCAGUUAUUUUAACGGCUCUUCUUGUAUACCUUGCAUACCAGCACAGGCCUUCCUUGCAAGUUUUCCUUUAAUAUGGUCACCACAGUACAGGACAUCUUUAAUUCUCCUUAAGUAAGAUCAAGUUCUUCUUCCUUCUUAUGUUUGUUAGGCUUCCUUUUUCAUUUUGGUUGAACCAGAGGAAUUAAAAAAGAACGACAACACAAGACCAGGGACUGCAAAGCUACUUGAUGUGAGGGAGCAAAGGCAAAGAAGGGGCAAUGUGAGGUGAUGGAGAGGCUGAGAAUAAACUUAUCUUUGAUGAUGCUUGGUGACAAGACCACUUCUAUUCCUUACACAAAGUCCCACAUAUUCUGCCUCUGAAAAGCUCCUUAAAUGAAUAAUAACAUGGUUUUGUCCCAGAGGCAUGGUCUUUCUCCUUCUCUUCUGUAGAACCCAUGUUUUUCAGCCCACCAAAGAGAGUUCAGAACUUCCCCACAGUGUUGGAAUCUUGGAGUUCAAACUGCACACAUUCAUUUAUUAAAGGACAUUCUUACCACUCAUUUUGGA